AAGCUUCGGGUCUGUGGUUGAAAGUCGAUGCCAGUCGCAGGCAAAACGAUCCACAUAAGCGGGCAAAAAUGCCCGUGAGCAUGGUGCGGCUUAGAUGUAAGUCCGUCCGCAUGUAUUGUGCGAGAGGGUGUGUAGUGGGAGGCUGUAAGCUCAGUAGCGAAAGCUCCGGACGGCGAGUGUGGGGGCAAAGAUCAGGUCAGCCGAGGUUU
rnacentral:ncRNA from 12 species